rnacentral:rRNA from 1 species
GAUGAACGCUGGCGGCGUGCCUAACACAUGCAAGUCGAACGGAAAGGCCCUGCUUUUGUGGGGUGCUCGAGUGGCGAACGGGUGAGUAACACGUGUGUAUCCUGCCCUUGACUUUGGGAUAACUUCAGGAAACUGGGGCUAAUACCGGAUAGGAUCUCCUGCAGCAUGGUGGGCGUUGGAAAGUUUCGGCGGUUGGGGAUGGACUCGCGGCUUAUCAGCUUGUUGGUGGGGUAGUGGCUUACCAAGGCUUUGACGGGUAGCCGGCCUGAGAGGGUGGCCGGCGACAAGAGGACUGAGGGAGGGACCAGACGGCAACGGGAGGCAACAGGCGAAAGUAUUGCACAGUGAGCCGGAGCGUGAUACGACGGCGCCGCGUGCGGGAAGACGGCCUUCUGGUUGUGAACCGCUUUCGCCUGAGACGAAGCGUUAGUGACGGUAAUGAGUAAAGAAGCACCGGCUAACUACGUG